rnacentral:tRNA from 1 species
GGCGUGCUCGUCUAUUGGUUAGGACACGGCCCUCUCAAGGCUGAAAGACGGGUUCGAUUCCCGUGCGCGCUACCA